CUUUUCGGCUUGAUGUACAGACUGCUGCUGACUGCUGCUGUGCUGGAUGGCUAGGUCGCUCUUAACUAUCAUCCCCAGUACUCCAUUUUGAAGAAUCUAAACAAUUAACAGUUGGGCUUUUGCUGGGCUCCAGCCCAAGCUUGCAUCCUGGGAGGCGAUAGCAUACUAGCUUCACAUUAGCAAACCAAAGAAUCCAGACCAGAGCCUCUCAGCAUUUACAAGACAAUGAUGGGUUACAGCACACUCGGACACACCCAUUGUGAGGCACACUGAAGUGUCUUGUCAUCCAAGAACACAUUUACUUGCUGACUAAUCUAACACUCCCUUCAGGGAAGUGUUCCCAUUAGCCUGCAGCAUCUGGACAAUUGUAACCACUUCAACACCGUGAAGUAUGCAGAAACAAUGCUUUUGGGGACUAGCAGUGGCUCCAUUCUCUACUGUUUUCCCGACUGUUGUGUUCUGGUGGCUUGUCUGAUGGUGAUAGACUAAUAGAUACGCACCAGAGGCUUUCUGCCCUCCUCUGGAUAUGGAGACAGAUCCUGAAGGAAGGACACAGCAAGCUGAAGGGUUCAUUGAGCACAGUGUUGUCUGGACUUUCUCCUGUCAUCAGUCUUGGUAGCAUCAAUUUAACAGAAAUUUCCAACUCUUCCGUUGCUUUCUCCAAAUGCUUUGAAAAGUAGGGCUUGACAUGCAACUAGACUUUGGUGAAGAAAAAAAUGUCUAGCCAUAGUCAUUAGAACCUCUGUCAGUCACUGUUGCUUCUCCUAAACUGCCCUGCCACCCAGAUGAUGGGUAGUUGGAUGAGCAGAGCAGUAAUCUGUCAUUGGAAAGAAAGUUCUAUGAAUAUGUAGCUAAGACCUUCACAUCACAGGCUCUGUUAUACCAGAACAUCUCCCUUGGCUUGCCCUUGUGGUCCCAUGGACCCUACAACUAGCAAAAGCAAGAUUUAAAAAAAAAAAAAAUCACGUUUAGUUCAAGAAUAUGUUUUGGUGUGAGAUCAACAACAACAAAAGAAAUGGUGGUCAUGUAAUAUCCCUACUAUAGUAUUAUAAAUCUGAUUUGUUACUAUUAUGAAAUGGAUGAGUCAAGAUAAUUUCAUAAUGAGAAGAGGUCACUUCAAUAACAGGUGUGGAGAUUCAAGGGCAUGUUGCUGGCAUCAGUUUGGCUUUGGUGGAUGGAAGGUUGUAUACAUGGCAAGGAAAAAUCAAUUGACAAAGCAGGGAGCCAGGGAGCUUUCAGAACUUAGUCUCAUUCUUAUCACAACUCAACUAGGAAGAAGCUCAGUGUCCUCAGAAUAGUGACUGUAAUUCCUCUGAAAGCAUCUGCCCCAGUGAUCUAAGAAUGUUCCAAGAGGUCUCACCUCUUUAAAGGUUCUAAGCUCCUAACACCUCCUAAAAGACAUUACAUUUCAACACAUGAACUUCUGUGGCACGUAUUAAGUCACAGCAGCAGUAGCAAUAGAUGUACCCACUUGGGAAUAAGCAAAGGUAGACAGGUGCACAUUGCAUUUUCCUUGGUCUUCUUUAUAUUUUGGCACAUACUAGAAGGGGCCAACCUACCUUGAAGUCUGUUCUACCCCACUCAGUUAAUCAUCUCUGGAAAUGCCCUCCCAGACACUGAUAGAGAGGAGUCUCCUAUGUCUUCUAAAUCCCACCAGUUGAUAAUUAAGGCCAAUCAUCAUAACCAUGUUAUUGGGCUUGCUAUUCACAGUGUUAUUUUUAAAUCGUAUUCAGUAAAUAAAUGACUAUGUUUCUUCACUUAUGUGUUAAGCAAUUUAUUGUAAAUAAUGUGCAGAUUUAUGUAAUCUCAUGCAUUUUUUACUCUACUAUUUCCUAUUGUGCUUGAUUUAAUCUUGAGGUUUGGUCACUAUGGUCCAAAGUAGGAUUAGUUUAUUCUGGAAUUUAUGAAGAAAGUAUCAGAGAGUUUGGGUGUGUGGUGGGCUGUGGGACCUGUAUUUGUAUGGGUGCACUUAAGUUUUACAGUGACAAAACUGACAAUUGUG
rnacentral:lncRNA from 1 species